rnacentral:lncRNA from 1 species
GGCUAGCCCCUUUAGCCCACUGGAACCCCACUUUACCCUAUUAGCCCAUCCCGAUAGCUUGGUGCAGGGAGGACGACGCCGUCGCCGAUCGAUGGCAGCCGCCGCUGCACGGCGCACCUAGCCCCUCCCCUACCUCGCAGCUUCUCCCUGCUCCGCCCCUCCCCUACCUCACAGCUUCUCCCUACCCCACCCCUCCCCUACCUCCCGGCGAUGGGCAGGUCGCCGGCAGCACCAACCCCGACCCCCAGGUCGCCGGCAUGAUCAAUCACGACCCCCGGGUCGCCGGCUGUCCCAACCCCGACAGCCAAGGCGCCGGAUGCGUCAAUCCCGGAGCCCAAGGUGCCGGAUGCAUCGUCGGCAGCAGCUGAUGCAUCAAUUCAAGAUAGUCCCUCAGAUUCAAGGAAAAAUAUUGUCGUCGUUGGCAGGGAAAAAUAUGCUUUUUUUUCAUCUUCUUCUCUGAAAGCCCGUUUUUAGGUAUGUAGGUAGGUGCGAUUGGUUAGAUUUGGGGAUUGGAUUUCAGAAGAUGGGGACCUGGAUUGCUACUGCUAAUUGGCUGUUCAUCAUCUAUUGUUUAUUUAAGAAAAUAGGACCUGGAUGGGUACCAUUUACAUAACUACGCCGAACACUAAACAUUGGGCCAUCUUGCUGUUACAUACAGCGUAUUUCAGUGAUUUGUAGUGAUCUGCCACUUAGUUUCUUUCUUAUUCUAUUGUACCUUUUAUUAAUGUCUGAACUUAACUCAUCAUAUUUAACUCGGUUGUGAAAAUUUUCAGAUCUUGAGGAGCACAAGGGUGAGCUCUUGCGUGCCAUAAAAAUCGAGAAGGCUACUGGCCCGGAUCUUGAGGAGCACAAGGGUGCUAGUGAGCUCCAUGUGGAACCACCAAAGUGCAAGAAAAGUAAGCGAAGUAGGCAGAGUAGCGGCGAGCUUCAUGCGGAACACCAAGAAACGAACAAAGUCUUUAUUUAUGCAUAACUGCCCACUUUAUUGAUGGCUCAUGGACUCUACAAAACAGAAUAAUCAGAUUUUGCCUCUUGGAAACUCUGCACAACGCUCAUAACAUGUUUGACAUGGUGCAAGAUAGCUUGAGAGAUUGGAAAAUUGAAGACAAAAUCUUUAGCUUUACCCUAGACAAUGCACCAGUUAAUACCUUGAUGGUUGGCCACUUGAGAAUUUUUUUGGCAGAUAGGUAUCUUCUUGGAAUCCUGCCUUUUUUGCCGUCAAAUGCUUGUGAUCUCUUGAGCUUGCUGUACUACUUGUUAUAGUAACCCACAUUUCGUGCUUCCAUUGAUGCCAUCCAUUGUAGUUUCUUGCUGUACUUAUGUAUUUGCUCUGUUAAUUCAGAAUUCAGAUAGGAUUCAGAUAGGCUUCAGUUAUGAAUUCAGAAUUCAGAUAGUUUUUUUGGCAGGCAGAAGGUGGAGCCUGAGGACAAGGAGGAGACCCGGGGGGCGAAGCCAGAAGCGGCACCGGCGGCAGCUGAGACUCAGUGAAGGCUUGUCCUGAGCUCGUGAUCGUCUUCCAUGAACCAACCUGAAGCUUCAUUCACUGAGAGUUGCGAGGUCUUAUCAGCUUAGAGUUUUUAUUUUCUCUUUGUCCUUGUGAGUUCACUGAGAUUUUUAAUGGGACUACCACUGAGAGUUGUGAGCUUCAUUCACUGAGAGUCGCUAUAAGUUGAAAAUAAGCUUGUAUCUGUGGCGGCCGCUUCCACAAAGUUCUAUUAAUAUGUUGAUGCACUAUUACCUUAUUCAAAUUCCAAUCAAGAUUUGCUUGUCCAGUUUAUAUGUUAAGUGGGAUCCCACUUAUUCCCACCUAAUAUGUGCUAGUUUUGAUGGGACUACCACUUCUUUUCCACCAAGCCAUGUUGGGACUAGGUGGAUCAAGGUGGGAUUCCCAGGAACCGUCCCACUUGC